rnacentral:rRNA from 1 species
AACGAACGCUGGCGGCAUGCCUAACACAUGCAAGUCGAACGAGAUCUUCGGGUCUAGUGGCGCACGGGUGCGUAACGCGUGGGAAUCUGCCCUUUGGUUCGGAAUAACAGUUGGAAACGACUGCUAAUACCGGAUGAUGACGAAAGUCCAAAGAUUUAUCGCCAGAGGAUGAGCCCGCGUAGGGUUAGCUAGUUGGUGUGGUAAAGGGGCACCAAGGCGACGAUCCUUAGCUGGUCCGAGAGGAUGAUCAGCCACACUGGGACUGAGACACGGCCCAGACUCCUACGGGAGGCAGCAGUGGGGAAUAUUGGACAAUGGGCGAAAGCCUGAUCCAGCAAUGCCGCGUGAGUGAUGAUGGCCUUAGGGUUGUAAAGCUCUUUUACCCGGAAUGAUAAUGACAGUACCGGGAGAAUAAGCUCCGGCUAACUCCGUGCCAGCAGCCGCCGUAA